rnacentral:rRNA from 1 species
CCUACGGGAGGCAGCAGUAGGGAAUUUUGCGCAAUGGGGGAAACCCUGACGCAGCAACACCGCGUGAGUGUUAAGCCCUUCGGGGUGUAAAGUUCUGUCAAUAGGGACGAAUUUUGACUGUACCUAUACAGGAAGCCCCGGCCAACCCAGUGCCAGCAGCCGCGGGAAUACGGGGGGGGCAGGCGUUGUCCGGAAGCAGUGGGCGUAAAGCGUGCGUAGGCGGUAUGUGAAGUCAGAUGUGAAAGCCCGGGGCUCAACUCCGGUUCUGCAUUGGAGACUGGAUAGCUGGAGUGGGGUAGAGGUAAAGGGAAUUCCUGGUGUAGCGGUGAAAUGCGUAGAUAUCAGGAGGAACACCGGUGGCGAAGGCGGUUUACUGGACCAUUAUUGACGCUGAGGAACGAAAGCGAGGGGAGCGAACAGGAUUAGAUACCCGUGUAGUC